GAGUCCUUCUGCCAUGGCUUCAGCCCACUGUACAAUUUCAAACUGGGGCUGAGUAGCAAUUUACCGUGAAUAUUACAGUUGAGCCUCUGCUGUUUAUAAAUUUUCCACCAGUGAAAUUAAAGUUCUGCAGACUUAAACUUCUUCAACUUUAUUAAAAGAUGGCAUUUUAGAAUUUCUUGGCUGUCUCCCAGUUUCCUGACUUGAAUUCCCAGGCAGAUUUCAUGUUGUCAGCUGCUGCCCACAAUUCUAAGGGAAGGGGAGAAAAGGCAACAUUUUUGUUGGUGGCUUGAAGGAUCCUUUCUCUUCUGAGAAGUCCCAUACCUCAUUCAGUGUCCUCUCUUUUCCUGUGAAUUAUACUUCUUCUAACACAUUUUGGGACAUUCGAUUCUUUACUACCACCAGAGUAUUUUUUAUUAAUUUGGUGCUUCUUGUCAAAGUUUGCUGUUCCUCUUUCAACACCAACGUCCUGUUAGUGGGUGAUUUCUGAUCUGGUCAGCAUCGCUGCUUUGAAACUUUUUGGCAACUGAGAUGUGAAUUAACCAUUCCAAGUUGGAGUCUCAAUGCUUCAGAAAAUUUCAAAGCCACACACCAAUAAUGGAGCCUUUCAUGAAAUAUGCUUGCAGUUGUCCUCCUGGAUCCCACAGAGUUCAGAUGUUGAGCUCAGACCUCCUGGAGUGAUUUCUGUGACCUUGAUCGUGCUUCUUGAAUUGUUCAGAGAAGAAUGUAAUGUUUUAUGUUCAUAUCUGAGCGUAUUAACAGCAGACCAAAACAGAGAAACUUGGAGACUAGAGAACAGCACAUUAUAAUCCUAACCUGUGAGCUCUCUCAAAGUUGACUUUAGGAGAUAAAGAGAUAUUUUUACAAAGCAUGCUAAUUCAAACAAAUAUGGUUUUACUGAAGGGGCUUGGUGGGCCUGUAACUGUUGUUGCAUAAAGCAUGCAAACACUGGGUCAUGCAAUACAGACACAACUUGGCAGGCUCUUCCACCCCUGCACAGCCAAGAGCUGUUGCUGGCUCUGAAGUCCACCCGAGUUGCUGAUCGUGGCCCCCGAAGUAUGAGCUGUGAUUCUGCAGCUUCCACAUGGCUGGAAAUAUUUCACAACAUUUGGCUGUGAAAGGUGUUUUAAAAGAGGUGAACACAUUGCAAGGUCAUUCACUCCACUGAAUUUUAGGCACCUAAUUUGUCU
rnacentral:lncRNA from 1 species